UAGAGCGAACAGAUGUUUUCUGUGCUCACGAUGAUUUGCCGAAGAGCCAAGGAAUAUUGUCGAAAUGUUUGCGAAUACGUGCUGGCAGAAAUUCGAGAGAGUUCGCGUUCGACGAGAGGAACAAGAACAGGGUUUAGAAGGAGGAUGGAUACCUGAUCUGCGUAUUUCGAUACCUUAAGGCUUAAGGUCGGCCAGCCCCGCAAAUAGAAACCUCGCUGUUUGCGUUCAACGCUCACCGGACUUACUUUUCGCGACCGGCCCGCAACGGACACAGCGAUCGCGACCGCUAUCGACGCCGAUCUCCGAAUAUCCCCGGCACUCGACGGGGACCGACCGAAAAAGAGUAAUUCUCCAUGCAUCGUGAAUCGUGAAUCGGGAAUCGCGAUUCCAUUCAGCAACCGUGCUCGAAACGCGCGACGAAUCAAUCGCGACGGAAAUUCUGGUUGCGCGUCGGACGCUAGGAAUCGCGGUAUGUAUGUCGUAUGCCGCAUGAAAUCAGCUUCGCGCUAACAAGAGUGACUGGUUUGUGUUACUUUAAAAAAAAAAAAAAUAUCGAUUCAUCGAGGAAUACUAAAAAAACCAGAAUAAGAAAGACGGGGAUUCUCGAAACACUAUAAAGCGCGUGAAUUCGCGUAAACCGUUUUUGUAGUCUAUUUGCGACGAUAGAUUCGCCAUUGGGGCGGUGGCGCGUGUGAAUCAAGAAUAAUAAUUAAUAGCCGUUAGGAGACCCGUGACAGAGCGCGACUCUCGAUCUGUUCCGUAAUCGCAAAUAUUACGAAAUUUUAAUGA